UACGGAGGGUGCGAGCGUUGUCCGGAAUUAUUGGGCGUAAAGAGCUCGUAGGCGGUCUGUUGCGUCCGCUGUGAAAACUCGGGGCUUAACCCCGAGCCUGCAGUGGAUACGGGCAGACUAGAGGUAGGUAGGGGGAGAAUGGAAUUCCCGGUGUAGCGGUGAAAUGCGCAGAUAUCGGGAGGAACACCGGGUGGCGAAGGCGGUUCUCUGGGCCUUACCUGACGCUGAGGAGCGAAAGCG
rnacentral:rRNA from 1 species